CCUACGGGUGGCAGCAGUGGGGAAUAUUGCACAAUGGGGGAAACCCUGAUGCAGCGACGCCGCGUGAGUGAAGAAGUAAUUCGUUAUGUAAAGCUCUAUCAGCAGGGAAGAAAAUGACGGUACCUGAGUAAGAAGCCCCGGCUAACUACGUGCCAGCAGCCGCGGUAAUACGUAGGGGGCAAGCGUUAUCCGGAUUUACUGGGUGUAAAGGGAGCGUAGACGGCAGUGCAAGUCUGGAGUGAAAGGCGGGGGGUCAACCCCCGGACUGCUCUGGAAACUGGACGGCUGGAGUGCAGGAGAGGUAAGUGGAAUUCCUAGUGUAGCGGUGAAAUGCGUAGAUAUGAGGAGGAACACCAGUGGCGAAGGCGGCUUACUGGACUGUAACUGACGUUGAGGCUCGAAAGCGUGGGGAUCAAACAGGAUUAGAUACCCGUGUAGUC
rnacentral:rRNA from 1 species